CCUACGGGAGGCAGCAGUGAGGAAUAUUGGUCAAUGGGCGAGAGCCUGAACCAGCCAAGUCGCGUGAGGGAAGACGGUCCUAUGGAUUGUAAACCUCUUUUGCCGGGGAGCAAAAAGCGGUACGUGUACCGCAUCGAGAGUACCCGGAGAAAAAGCAUCGGCAAACUCCGUGCCAGCAGCCGCGGUAAUACGGAGGAUGCGAGCGUUAUCCGGAUUUAUUGGGUUUACAGGGUGCGCAGGCGGCGAGUUAAGUCAGCGGUAAAAUUUCGGGGCUCAACCCCGACAAGCCGUUGAAACUGGCGUGCUAGAGUGGGCGAGAAGUAUGCGGAAUGCGUGGUGUAGCGGUGAAAUGCAUAGAUAGCACGCAGAACUCCGAUUGCGAAGGCAGCAUACCGGCGCCCAACUGACGCUCAGGCACGAAAGCGUGGGUAUCGAACAGGAUUAGAUACCCCAGUAGUC
rnacentral:rRNA from 1 species